rnacentral:rRNA from 1 species
GACGAACGCUGGCGGCGUGCUUAACACAUGCAAGUCGAACGGAAAGGCUCCAGCUUGCUGGCGUACUCGAGUGGCGAACGGGUGAGUAACACGUGGGUAAUCUGCCCUGCACUCUGGGAUAAGCCUGGGAAACUGGGUCUAAUACUGGAUAUGACCUUUCUCCUUAUGGGGUUUGGUGGAAAGUUUUUCGGUGUAGGAUGAGCCCGCGGCCUAUCAGCUUGUUGGUGGGGUGAUGGCCUACCAAGGCGACGACGGGUAGCCGGCCUGAGAGGGUGAUCGGCCACAUGGGGACUGAGAUACGGCGCAGUCGCCUACGGGAGGCAGCAGUGGGGAAUAUUGCACAAUGGGCGGAAGCCUGAUGCAGCGACGCCGCGUUAGGGAUGACGUCCUUCGGGUUGUAAACCUCUGUCAGCAGGGACGAAGCGUAAGUGACGGUACCUGCAGAAGAAGCACCGGCUAACUACGUG